AACGAACGCUGGCGGCAGGCUUAACACAUGCAAGUCGAACGCCCCGCAAGGGGAGUGGCAGACGGGUGAGUAACACGUGGGAACAUGCCCAAAGGUACGGAAUAUUCUCGGGAAACUGGGAGCAAUACCGUAUGUGCCCGAAAGGGGAAAGAUUUAUCGCCUUUGGAUUGGCCCGCGUCGGAUUAGCUAGUUGGUGGGGUAAUGGCCUACCAAGGCGACGAUCCGUAGCUGGUCUGAGAGGACGACCAGCCACACUGGGACUGAGACACGGCCCAGACUCCUACGGGAGGCAGCAGUGGGGAAUCUUGGACAAUGGGCGCAAGCCUGAUCCAGCCAUGCCGCGUGGAUGAUGAAGGCCCUAGGGUUGUAAAAUCCUUUCGUUGGGGACGAUAAUGACGGUACCCAAAGAAGAAGCUCCGGCUAACUUCGUGCCAGCAGCCGCAGUAA
rnacentral:rRNA from 1 species